rnacentral:rRNA from 1 species
UACAGAGGUGGCAGGCGUUGUUCGGAAUUACUGGGCGUAAAGGGCGCGUAGGUGGCCUUCUUAGUCAGACGUGAAAUCCCCAGGCUUAACCUGGGAACUGCGUCUGAUACUGCAAAUCUCGAGUCCGGAAGAGGUGAGUGGAAUUCCUAGUGUAGAGGUGAAAUUCGUAGAUAUUAGGAAGAACACCAGUGGCGAAGGCGGCUCACUGGUCCGGUACUGACGCUGAGGUGCGAAAGCGUGGGGAGCAAACAGG